GGGAGGCAGCAGGUGGGAAUAUUGCACAAUGGGCGCAAGCCUGAUGCAGCGACGCCGCGUGAGGGAUGACGGCCUUCGGGUUGUAAACCUCUUUCAGUAGGGAAGAAGCGAAAGUGACGGUACCUGCAGAAGAAGCACCGGCUAACUACGUGCCAGCAGCCGCGGUAAUACGUAGGGUGCAAGCGUUGUCCGGAAUUAUUGGGCGUAAAGAGCUUGUAGGCGGUUUGUCGCGUCUGCUGUGAAAGGCCGGGGCUUAACCCCGUGU
rnacentral:rRNA from 1 species